rnacentral:rRNA from 1 species
UAUAGAUUGUAAAACUCUGUUGUAUGGAAAAAACGACUAGGUUAGGAAAUGAACUUAGUGUGAUGGUACCAUACCAGAAAGCCCCGGCUAACUACGUGCCAGCAGCCGCGGUAAUACGUAGGGGGCGAGCGUUAUCCGGAUUUAUUGGGCGUAAAGCGUGUGUAGGCGGUUUAUUAAGUUUAAGAUUAAAGCCCGGGGCUUAACUCCGGUAAGCCUUAAAAACUGGUAGACUUGAGUACGGUAGAGGCAAACGGAAUUUCUAGUGUAGCGGUGAAAUGCGUAGAUAUUAGAAGGAACACCAGUGGCGAAAGCGGUUUGCUGGGCCGUUACUGACGCUGAGGCACGAAAGCGUGGGGAGCAAAUAGGAUUAGAUACCCUAGUAGUCCACGCCGUAAACGAUGAGUACUAAGUGUUGGGGUUACCCAGUGCUGAAGCUAACGUAUUAAGUACUCCGCCUGAGUAGUACGGUCGCAAGGCUGCAACUCAAAGGAAUUGACGG